rnacentral:rRNA from 1 species
GACGAACGCUGGCGGCGUGCUUAACACAUGCAAGUCGAACGGAAAGGCCCUGCUUUUGUGGGGUGCUCGAGUGGCGAACGGGUGAGUAACACGUGAGUAACCUGCACUUGACUUUCGGAUAACUUCAGGAAACUGGGGCUAAUACCGGAUAGGAGCUCCUGCUCCAUGGUGGGGGUUGGAAAGUUUCGGCGGUAGGGGAUGGACUCGCGGCUUAUCGGCUUGUUGGUGGGGUAGUGGCUUACCAAGGCUUAGACGGAUAGCCGGCCUGAGAGGGUGACCGGCCACAAUGGGACUGAGAUACGGACCAGACUCCUACGGGAGGCAGUAGUGGGAAAUAUUGCACAAUGGGCGGAAGCCUGAUGCAGCGACGCCGCGUGCGGGAUGACGGCCUUCGGGUUAUAAACCGCUUUCGCCUGUGACGAAGCGUGAGUGACGGUAAUGGAUAAAGAAGCACCGGCUAACUACGUG